AUCUCCCAGAGGGAGAAACAUUUUAUCCUCGGCAUGGCCUACAUGGUUGAUAUGUUUGGAGAGAGAGAUUGUGAAGCAAAGAUGAAAAACUCUACCAAUUUCAAAAGUUGCUGACCCGCCAUCCAUCUGUGCUCUCCCAGGACAGUGAGAAAAAGGUUGACCGGAAUCGAUCCAGAAGAACGCCCUGCCUGAGGCUUCCAGGCUGUGAGCUCCACGAAUCAGAAGGGGAAUCAUCCCACUUCCAGGCAUGUCAACAAAGUAUGUCUCAACCCCUGAUGGUGGCUGGUUGGUUAAUCUGCUCCCAGAACCGGGAGGAUUAGAGGAAGUGUUGCCGGGUCAGAGGUAAACACUCUGGAGGCCCCAUCAAGAAGGCCUUACUGAGGUCACCUUGUGCAGCUCCUGAGAUUGGCCAUGCCCAGCAGGUGGGGAGCAGUGGUCUAUGGUCGAAGGGCUUCAGAGCAGGACCAUCUGCUUUUCCUGGCAGGCCCUGAGCUCUGACUCUUGUUUCCUGAAUAUUCUCUCAGGCUUACU